GUGCCAGCAGCCGCGGUUACACAGACAAGAAAACUUAUAAAUGCAUCGGUAAAAAGGACAGUUAUAAAUACUUCAAAGUUAAAUCAUUCCAUGAAGAGGUAGAAUUCAUACAUGGUUUAUCUUAUCACUAACUUUAUGCUUAGAAGCUGUGAAAUUGCUAUUUAAAACCAGGAUUAGACACCCUGCUAUUAGCAACGUAAAUUUUUUACACCACCGGGGAAUUAUAAGGUUUUCCUUGAAACCCAAAGAGCUUGGCGGUAUCUCAAACCCUAUUAGGGGAACCUGUUCCAUAAUCGAUAAUCCGCGUAGGACCUUACUCUUCUUUAUUUAGUUUGUAUACCGUCGUCGUCAGACAACUUUUAAGAAAUCAAUAGUUCUCUAUAAUAAAUUAUUUAUAGACGUCAGAUCAAGGUGCAGCCAACAGAAGAGAGAGAAAUGGGUUACAAUUUCAAAUUUGGAAGAUGGAACUAAAGCUGAAAUCAUUUUAGUGAAGGCGGACUUAAAAGUAAUUUUAAUAAGAAUAAAAAAAUGAAUAUGGCUCUGAGAUGUGCACACAUCGCCCGUCGCUCUCGCUGAAAAGUGAGAUAAGUCGUAACAUAGUAAAAGUAAUGGAAAUUGCUCUUAGUUGAA
rnacentral:rRNA from 1 species